rnacentral:rRNA from 1 species
AUAAAUCAAAACUUUCAACAACGGAUCUCUUGGUUCUGGCAUCGAUGAAGAACGCAGCAAAAUGCGAUAAGUAAUGUGAAUUGCAGAAUUCAGUGAAUCAUCGAAUCUUUGAACGCACAUUGCGCCCGCCAGUAUUCUGGCGGGCAUGCCUGUUCGAGCGUCAUUUCAACCCUCAAGCACAGCUUGG